GACGAACGCUGGCGGCGUGCUUAACACAUGCAAGUCGAACGGUAAGGCCCUUCGGGGUACACGAGUGGCGAACGGGUGAGUAACACGUGGGUGAUCUGCCCUGCACUUCGGGAUAAGCCUGGGAAACUGGGUCUAAUACCGGAUAGGACCACUGCCUGCAUGGGUGGUGGUGGAAAGCUUUUGCGGUGUGGGAUGGGCCCGCGGCCUAUCAGCUUGUUGGUGGGGUGAUGGCCUACCAAGGCGACGACGGGUAGCCGGCCUGAGAGGGUGACCGGCCAAACUGGGACUGAGGUACGGCCCAGACGCCUACGGGAGGCAGCAGUGGGGAAUAUUGCACAAUGGGCGCAAGCCUGAUGCAGCGACGCCGCGUGAGGGAUGACGGCCUUCGGGUUGUAAACCUCUUUCAGCACCGACGAAGCGCAAGUGACGGUAGGUGCAGAAGAAGGACCGGCCAACUACGUGCCAGCAGCCGCCGUAA
rnacentral:rRNA from 1 species